CGCGUAGGCGGUUUGCUAAGUUGAAUGUGAAAACUCUGGGCUUAACCCAGAGCCUGCAUUCAAUACUGGCGGGCUAGAGUUCUGGAGGGGAUAGCGGAAUUCCUGGUGUAGCGGUGAAAUGCGUAGAUAUCAGGAGGAACACCGGUGGCGAAGGCGGCUAUCUGGACAGAGUCUGACGCUGAGGCGCGAAAGCUAGGGGAGCAAACAGGAUUAGAUACCCUGGUAGUCCUAGCCCUAAACGAUGGAUACUUGCUGUGACUGGGAUUGAAUCCAGUCGUGGCGAAGCUAACGCAUUAAGUAUCCCGCCUGGGGAGUACGGUCGCAAGGCUGAA
rnacentral:rRNA from 1 species